GGUUGGAUGGAUGGGGAAAAGGUGAGGCUGAGUGAGCGCGAGGAGGGGGGACACAUACACACACACGCACGCRCGCACGCGCACGCACACACACAGACGGGAGUAUACAGUUCAAAAGCGACCAAUAACGAACAGGGAAGCCGGUGGGGUCGAUUCAGUGAUGUUUUCUAUUAAAAAUAACUGUUUGUCUGAACGCACACGCGCGUGUUCCGUGACGCCCACCGGACCCCCCCACCCCUGCACAUAAUAAUGGAUGUGCUGAGGGAUGCACAAUGGCGAACAAACACCGGGUUCAGUUCGUUUCUAUCAGCAGCUCAUUCAUGUGCUGGCCGAGCGAUUUCAACCCAUGCGCCGAAUUUCCAGAAAAGUGACAUUCUGGUCUCCUUCUCUUCUCCUCCUCCUCCUUCUCCCACUCCUCCUCCUCCUCUUCCUGCAGGGUCGCUGCCUCCCCGCUCGCCUGUCUUUACCAUCUCCGGGAAGAAGCGUCGUGAUCUCCGCUCACUCAGCCCCGCAGGAGCUCCAGGAGCCGGUGGGCCAUUUCUCCUCCCCCGCCGCACCGGACCGUGAUGAUCACCGCAAACAGGUUCACCCAGCCGGGUCCGGGCUUCCCCCACUCGCCUUUCUUCGCUUAAAAUGAAGCCAUCUGCGACUGAGGCGGGUUUUUUUUAUCCGUGUCUGCUCGCCUUUUUGUCCGGCGUGUUUCAGACGCACCCCUCCCUCCCUCCCUCCGAUGCGAUGCCCCAGCUGCUCUAAGGGGAGACCAUACGGAGCUCCUUCGGAGCAGCGGAGGGGCAAAACCGGGACUUCCGCUUUUAAAGGGCCAGAAGAAGAAAACGAAGGUCCCCAUAAAAAUAUAUAACAAAUUUACAGGAGCUCAACAAUCCAGCCUUUGUGGAGCGAUGUGCCCCAACCAGCCCGCAGAUUAUACCAGAUCUUUGACCGAGGUGUUGCCUCUUGAAACAAAACUGAAAUGAAUGUCGCAAUCACAUCUCAGCACUUUAGAUAGCUUUUAGCUAAUAAAUGUGCAGAAGUGAUUACUGCAGAGAAAAUGUUACAAGCAGACUUAAGCUUUCCAAAAAAAGAUCAAUAAUAGCUUCCUCAGCACCCCACUUCAGCUAUAAUUCAUUUCUGGGCAGAUCAAUGCCUCAGUUACUCAUCUCUGAUGGAGUACAGGCGUGUUUGCCUCCGUAACUCAGUACUGAUGCACCACUGCUGAGUCAGCUGAAGGCAACCGCAAAGCAAGGUCAGAUGCAAGAAUUCAAGAUGUCCACACGAGGUUCCUCAUCAUAACCCGCAGCAAGAACAGGCCGCAGUGUUCUCUGAAGUGACGGAGCCUGGGAAUGAAUGACACCACAAAAUGUCGAGCCGAAUGAACCCCAACCGACCGGGCCGACAAUCGAUGGAUUCGUGUGGAUGGUGGGAUCUCUUACCUCCCUCGCUGUGUAUCUUCUUGGCUCUUCGGUUGAAAUACAUCUUGCCGGUGGAUGUGGGGUAUGAUGAUGAGUGUCGGCGAGGCUGGGACGAGGAAGAGGCCGGAGCGGUGACAUGCUCACGGCUCACCGACAGGCUCCCAGAAGGGUGCUCCGGGCCCGGUUUGCGGUCCUCGUACCUCCUGCGGCUGCUUGGUAAUCAUAAUUUCUCCCUUGAACCCCCGAGGUUACGACGGACGUCGGCUUUCGUCGGCGUCAAAUGAAACGGAAGGAGAGAAUGUUGUACUUCCGGUAAGUAUUUCAAAAAUAAAAGCGCACCAGGAAGUCUUGUUUUUUUUGGCUGAUCUUUUAAUAAAAACAAUAAAAAUAA